rnacentral:rRNA from 1 species
CCUACGGGAGGCAGCAGUGGGGAAUAUUGCACAAUGGACGCAAGCCUGAUGCAGCCAUGCCGCGUGUGUGAAGAAGGCCUUCGGGUUGUAAAGCACUUUCAGCGGGGAGGAAGGCGGUAAGGUUAAUAACCUCAUCGAUUGACGUUACCCGCAGAAGAAGCACCGGCUAACUCCGUGCCAGCAGCCGCGGUAAUACGGAGGGUGCAAGCGUUAAUCGGAAUUACUGGGCGUAAAGCGCACGCAGGCGGUCUGUCAAGUCGGAUGUGAAAUCCCCGGGCUCAACCUGGGAACUGCAUUCGAAACUGGCAGGCUAGAGUCUUGUAGAGGGGGGUAGAAUUCCAGGUGUAGCGGUGAAAUGCGUAGAGAUCUGGAGGAAUACCGGUGGCGAAGGCGGCCCCCUGGACAAAGACUGACGCUCAGGUGCGAAAGCGUGGGGAGCAAACAGGAUUAGAUACCCGAGUAGUC